GGGCCAACACAAGUGGUGGAGCAUGUUGUUUAAUGCGAAAAUACGCGCGAAACCUUACCAGUUCUUGACAGUGUGUUAAGUGACGAAAAAAUAGCUUUUUUGUCCUCUUUAUAGUAAGAAUUUUCACACACAGGUGUUGCAUGGCUGUCGUCAGCUCGUGUUGUGAAAUGUUAGAUUAAUUUCUUAAACGAGCGCAACCCCUACUUUUAGUUGCCAGUGUUUGUUGUUCCAAACAGGAACUCUAAAAGAACUGCUAGUGGAUAAGCUAGAGGAAGGUGGGGAUAACGUCAAGUCCUCAUGGCCCUUAUGAACUGGGCUACAAACGUGCUACAAUGAAAACUACAAAAAGAAGCAAUAGUGCUUAAGCUGGAGCAAAUCUCUAAAAGUUUUCUUAGUUCGGAUUGUGGGCUGAAACUCGCCCACAUGAAGUUGGAAUCACUAGUAAUCGUAGAUC
rnacentral:rRNA from 1 species